CAACGGACACAUUGUCAGGCUGUGCAGAGUGUACAGAACGGGCAGAAAAAGGUAUCUAACGGCUAGUUUCCGUGAAGGUUGGUUUAAAUAGCCACAGAAGACUGUAGCAAAGUAGAGAACAACCAUUCCACUCCAAGUAUUCAAGCAUUCAAUCUCUGCAACCUGUUCUUCAACGAAAAAAGAGGGAAGAGCUGCAUUAACUGCAUCCACCUACAUCUUCCCAGCAAUUAAAGAAUCCUCCUCCUGCAUUCAAGUCGACUACACAUUCAAGAUGNNNNNNNNNNNNNNNNNNNNNNNNCUUCUUCUCCAACUUAAAAGCGUUUGAGGGCUUCUAAACUCUUUUCAGAUUAUAUUGUUUUCCACCUGCUUUUGAGAAGCUUAGUUUUCUGUUUGUCUAUUUUAUUUACAACUUGUAUCUGCUUGGUUCAAUCGGGGGAUUGAAUCAAGGGUAUUGAGGUUGGUUGGUGAGCCGAGUGUAAAACCAACGUGUGUAAGGGUUCGAUUGUGAUCUCGGAAAAACAAUCGGGGUGGUUCUAGUCGGUGAGCCUGGGAAAACCGGCCGAGUUCGUUGUGAGCUCGUAAAACAACAAGUUUGGUUGUGAGCUUGGAAAACAACCGGCUGUAAUCCAAGGGGGUUAUAGUGAAUUCCCAAGUGAGAAUUGGAGAGUGGACGUAGGAGCAAGGGUUAGCUCCGAACCACUAUAAAACUUGGUGUUUGUGAUUGAUUGUCUCUCUUCUUCUUCCUCUCAUAUCACUCACAGCACAUAGCAUUUAAUUAAACAACUUGCAAUAGUUUUAAUUAGUCCUUCACAACGUUUUAAAUAGCUAAAUUAUUUUAAAACCCAAUUCACCCCCCCUCUUGGGUUGUCUAUCUGGGCAACAAGUGGUAUCAGAGCCUAAACUCUUCCACCCAAGAGUAAAAGAUCGAAAUGACAAC
rnacentral:lncRNA from 1 species